ensembl:lncRNA FTX FTX transcript, XIST regulator
GGAGGGUUGGAAGGUCGGGAAGUGAAGGACUCGCAGGCAUAUUUAACAACGCAAAGUUGCUAGGAGUUGGUACCAGCGUUUGGGAGGUAGAGGUGGCGCUCAUGCAUAUUUGAGACAACAUCUGGAUGGUUGGGGAGAACGGUGAUGCCACACUCAAUCAGAAACUAUGCUACUGCUGAAGAGGUAUAUUGAGCCCUGCCUGGUUAACCUCCAGUGAGGUUAUUAGAGAAUUGGGAGAGGCUCAAAUCAGCAUCCUGCACCUAGUUAUCAAACCAUUGUGAAGUCUUGAUUCCUGGAUGGCCAGAAAACUUGUCAUUGGUCAAGAGCAACAUUAAGAUCUGCCUGUUACUCAUACUGAUGCUUCCUGCCCAGCAAGUUCAUCAGAGGGCGAGGAUGAAUUACGGUUGCCAUGAAUGUCCUUGUGAGGCAGUUGGGAAGCCUUGGCUGGAUUGUGAAGGAUAUUUGAAAAGUAUUUUAGAGUCCACCAGAUCAUCCAUGUGAGUGACCAUGCAGCAAAAGAAGGAGGGUCCUCUCAGUGAUUAAGGAUUAUGAAGUAUUAAUUCUUCCACUGAUAUCUCAAAAGGUGAUCUGGACAAAGGAACAGGUAUCUCAGCUAGACAGAAGGUACUGGAUAAAAAGAACCCUGAAGCAUGGGAUGAUUUUUUCCCAAUAUUCACUGUGAGAAUCUGUCAGAUAAUCAGCAACUGCUGUGAUGAGAUGCUGCCUUUAAUGCUGCUGCAUGUGGUCAAACCUCCACUCCCAGUCUACCCAGACCAGGACUUGGCUUCCAGGAUCCAGGGGUGUCUGUGUGAAAUGAUCAGCCUGGGCCCCCAAGCAGGUCACUCCCAGCACAGAGAUGUCAUUGAUUGUACCACCGUCAUCAGGCUGUCUUCCGCCCUCAGGGAAAAGUAGCAUGUCUUCCAGCACCAUAUGACAACUGCUCAGCACUUAUUUCUUGUCAUUGCUCCCUUCUGACUGCAGCUCCGUGGGAUCACAGGAGAUUAUGGUGGUGGUGGACUCCCAGGCAUUGCUAUUCUCCUGACACCAGAACACCAUCAUGGUCAUCUCUGAGGCAUCAGUAGUGUUUCUAUAUGCCAACAGUGAACAAUCUGAAAAAGAUAUUAAAAAGUAAUCUCAUUUACAAUAGCCACACAUAAAAUUAAAUACCUAGGAAUUAACCAAAGAAGUUAAAUAUCUCUAUAAUGAAAACUAUAAAACACUGAUGAAUGAAAUUGAUGAGAUCACCAAAAAUGAAAAAAUAUUCCAUGUUCAUGGAUUGGAAGAAUCAAUAUUGUUAAAAUGUCCAUACUACCCAAAGCAAUCUACAGAUUCAGUGCAAUCCCUAUAAAAAUACCAAUGACAUUCUUCACAGAAAUAUGAUCCUAAAAUGUAUACAGAACCACAAAGACCCAGAAUAGCCAAAGCUAUCCUAAGCAAAAAGAACAAAACUGGAGGAAUCACAUUACCUGACUUUAAAUAAUACUACAGAGCUGUUGUAACCAAAACAGCAUGGUACUGGCAUAAAAGCAGACACACAGACCAAUGGAACAGUACAGACAACCCAGAAACAAAUCCACACACAAACAGUGAACCCAUUUGUGACAAAGGUGCCAAGAAUAUGCACUCGGGAAAACACAGUCUUUACUCCACAAGCACAAGCAACCAAAGCAAAAAUGGACAAAUGGGAUUACGUCAAGUUUAAAAGCUUCUACACAGCAAAAGAUACUAUCAACCAAGUGAAUAGACACCCCAAAGAAUGGGAGAAAAUAUUUGCAAACUACCCAUCUGACAAGGGAUUCAUAACCAGGAUUUAUAAGGAGCUCAAAGAACUCUACUGGAGAAAAUCUAGUAAUUCCAGUCAAAAAUGGGCAAAAUAUUUGAAUAGGCAUUUCUCAAGAGAAGACAUACGUAUUGCAAAGAGGCAUAUGAAAAUGUGCUCAACAUCAUUGAUCAUUAGAGAAAUGCAAAUCAAAACUACAAUGAGAUCAUCUCACCCAGUUAAAAUGGCUUAUAUGCAAAAGUCAAGUAAUAACAAAUGCUGGCUAGGAUGUGUACACUGUUUGGUGGGAAUGUAAAUUAGUACAACCUCUAUGGAGAACAGUUUUCAGGUUCCUAAGAAGACAAAAAAUAUUGAACUACUAUAUGAUCCAGAAAUCCCAGUGCUUGGUAUAUACCCAAAAGAAAGAAAAUCAGUAUAUCAAAGAGAUAUCUGUGUGCCUAUGUUUGUUGCAGCAGUGUUUACAAGAGCUAAGAUUUGGAAGCAACGUAAGUGUUCAUCAACAGAUGAAUGGGUAAAGAACGUGUGGUACAUAUACACAAUGG